rnacentral:rRNA from 1 species
UACGUAGGGUGCAAGCGUUGUCCGGAAUUAUUGGGCGUAAAGAGCUCGUAGGCGGUCUGUUGCGUCGGCUGUGAAAACCCGGGGCUCAACCCCGGGCCUGCAGCCGAUACGGGCAGACUAGAGUGCGGAAGGGGCAACUGGAAUUCUCGGUGUAGCGGUGAAAUGCGUAGAUAUCGAGAGGAACACCUGCGGCGAAGGCGGGUUGCUGGGCCGACACUGACGCUGAUGCGCGAAAGCCAGGGGAGCGAACGGG